rnacentral:rRNA from 1 species
UACAGAGGCCCCAAGCGUUACCCGGAUUUAUUGGGCGUAAAGCGUCCGCAGACGGGAAGAUGCGUCGGUUGUGAAAUCCCUGGGCUUAACCCAGGAACGCCAACCGAUACGAUUUUUCUUGAGGCAGGGAGAGGUCAGUGGAACUCAUGGUGAAGCAGUGAAAUGCGUUGAUAUCAUGGGGAACACCAAUUGCGAAGGCAGCUGACUGGUCCUGUCCUGACGUUCAGGGACGACAGCGUGGGUAGCGAAUGGG